UACGUAGGUGGCAAGCGUUGUCCGGAUUUAUUGGGCGUAAAGCGCCCGCAGGCGGCUUGGUAAGUUUCAGGUGAAAUCUCCCGGCUCAACCGGGAGGGGUUCUGGAAAACUACCAGGCUUGAGGCAGGGAGGGGAAUGCGGAAUUCCAGGUGUAGCGGUGAAAUGCGUAGAUAUCUGGAGGAACAUCAGCGGCGAAGGCGGCAUUCUGGCCCUGUCCUGACGCUCAGGGGCGAAAGCGUGGGGAGCAAAC
rnacentral:rRNA from 1 species